rnacentral:rRNA from 1 species
AACGAGAAGCGAGCCUGCGAAGGCAAGCGGAUCUCUUAAAGCUGUUCUCAGUUCGGACUGCAGUCUGCAACUCGACUGCACGAAGCUGGAAUCGCUAGUAAUCGCGGAUCAGCACGCCGCGGUGAAUACGUUCCCGGGCCUUGUACACACCGCCCGUCACACCAUGAGAGUCGGGAACACCCGAAGUCCGUAGCCUAACCGCAAGGGGGGCGCGGCCGAAGGUGGGUUCGAUAAUUGGGGUGAAGUCGUAACAAGGUACC